GAUGAACGCUAGCUACAGGCUUAACACAUGCAAGUCGCGGGGCAGCAUCGGGUUUGCUUGCACUCCCCGAUGGCGACCGGCGCACGGGUGAGUAACGCUUGUCCAACCUGCCCUUCACCACGGCUUAACCCGGCGAAAGUCGGACUACUACCGUAUGUUGUCCAUUGACUGCAUCCGCGUUGGACGAGCGAGUUGGCGGUGAAGGAUAGGGAUGCGUCCGAUUAGCUGGACGGCUGGGUGACGGCCCACCGUGACGCCGAUAGGUAGGGGUGGUGCGAGGAAGGUCCCCCACACGGGAGCUGGGACACGGUCCAGACGCCUACGGGAGGCAGCAGUGAGGAAUAGUGGUCAAUGGGCGGAAGCCUGAACCAGCCAAGGAGCGUGCAGGACGACGGCCCUAUGGGUUGUAAACUGCUUUUAUGCGGGGAUAAAGUGGUUCACGUGUGGGUUUUUGCAGGUACCGCAUGAAUAAGGACCGGCUAAUUCCGUG
rnacentral:rRNA from 1 species